rnacentral:rRNA from 1 species
UACGUAGGGAGCGAGCGUUGUCCGGAAUUACUGGGCGUAAAGGGCGCGUAGGCGGGAAUUUAAGUAAGGUGUGAAAACUCCGGGCUCAACCUGGAGACUGCACUUUAAACUGGAUUUCUUGAGGGCAGGAGAGGAAAGUGGAAUUCCUAGUGUAGCGGUGAAAUGCGUAGAUAUUAGGAGGAACACCAGUGGCGAAGGCGACUUUCUGGACUGUACCUGACGCUGAGGCGCGAAAGCGUGGGGAGCGAACAGGAUUAGAUACC